CCUACGGGUGGCAGCAGUGGGGAAUAUUGGACAAUGGGGGCAACCCUGAUCCAGCCAUGCCGCGUGUGUGAAGAAGGCCCUCGGGUUGUAAAGCACUUUCAGUGAGGAAGAACGCCUGGUGGUUAAUACCCAUCAGGAAAGACAUCACUCACAGAAGAAGCACCGGCUAACUCCGUGCCAGCAGCCGCGGUAAUACGGAGGGUGCGAGCGUGAAUCGGAAUUACUGGGCGUAAAGCGCGCGUAGGUGGCUUGAUAAGCCGGUUGUGAAAGCCCCGGGCUCAACCUGGGAACGGCAUCCGGAACUGUCAAGCUAGAGUGCAGGAGAGGAAGGUAGAAUUCCCGGUGUAGCGGUGAAAUGCGUAGAGAUCGGGAGGAAUACCAGUGGCGAAGGCGGCCUUCUGGACUGACACUGACACUGAGGUGCGAAAGCGUGGGUAGCAAACAGGAUUAGAUACCCUGGUAGUC
rnacentral:rRNA from 1 species